rnacentral:tRNA from 1 species
GAAACAAUGGUUCAGUGGUAGAAUACCGAGCAUAAUUCGGUGAUGAGGGUUCGAUUCCUUCUUGUUUUUCUU